rnacentral:rRNA from 1 species
GUAGGUGGACCUGCGGAAGGAUCAUUAACGAACAAUUAAAGGAUUGUCGCUGGCCAAGUUAAUUCUUUGGCAUCGUGCACGUCUUUUUAAUCCACACACACACACUUGUGAACCUAUUGUAGAUCGAGAGAUCUAUGUUCUUUCAUCACAUCUAUUAGCAUGUCUUAGAAUGUAACCAAAUUAUUACAACUUUCAGCAAUGGAUCUCUUGGUUCUCGCAUCGAUGAAGAACGCAGCGAAUUGCGAUAAGUAAUGUGAAUUGCAGAUUUUCAGUGAAUCAUCGAAUCUUUGAACGCACCUUGCGCUCCUUGGUAUUCCGAGGAGCAUGCCUGUUUGAGUGUCAUUUAAUUAUCAAUCUGAAUUGAAUUUGGAUUGGAGUUGGGAAUUGCUGGCUUUGAUUAGUCGGCUGUCCUUAAAAGCAUUAGCGAGAGUUAGUUUAUUUCUACGUGCACGGCCUCUGACGUGAUAACGAUCGUCGUGGGCUGGAAGCGUAUUAAUCAACGAAGCUUGCUUCUAAAAACCUAGUAAAGAGUGAAUUUUCUAUGUGCAUACGGACUUUGGGCAUAGUAUUGGAAGCUCUGAGUGAAAGCUCUAAGUGAAAAAAAAAUACUGUGUACAUGGGCUGGAAGCAUAGUAUUGAAGCUAGUUACACAAAGAAAUCUGACGAGUGGAAUAUUUAAUUCUAAAUGCAAUAAAGCUAAUGUGGGGCUGGAAGGCAUGGGUAGUAGUAGUAUUUGGAAGCUGUCAGUGAAAAUUGACUUUGUUGACGGAAGCUCGAGCGAAAGUGCCAAUUUAAUUAAUGGUGUGGAAGCUCGAAGUGAAUGUUAAUGGACGUCGAUGGAAGCUUGAGUGAAAAAAGAAAUGCUAUUCGUGUGCAUACGGCUUCAUGUAGGCUGGAAGCAUAGUGAAYGUAAUUGAAAGCUUAGUUUAUGAUUUCGAAUUGAAAUUGACCUCAAAUCAGG